rnacentral:lncRNA from 1 species
UGGAUUUCGUAGUAGGCCCGUAUGGGAAGCUAUGAAUGGACAUUGGUACUGGAAAGGUCAUUCCUUAUGAUUUCGUUUACAUCAUCCAGGUACAUCUGGUCCAAUUCCUCAGGUUCUCGCUUGAUCGUUACAGGAAUAGGGGCCAAAUUAUGAUUACUUUCCUCAUGCAACUCUGGCAAUGACAGUGGUUGGGUUGUUGGAGACUCAUUUCUGUGAACCUUCGGCAGUUGCUGCUGCUGUUGACC